UUUCAGAGGCACAGGGCCGAUAGAUGUGAGAUUGGGCUUGCACCCUCCCUGCAUUUGGGGCCUGGAUUGCGCCCGCGGCCUUUGGCCGUGCUGUCCCGCUGCCUGGCUGCUGAGUGUCGUUCCUGCUGCUGGGGGGGAAACCGAGCUCUGUGGCUCCGUGGGUGUUGUCGCCCCGCCUGUAACCAGGGUCUGGGUGCAGGAGCCUUUGUGCUCUGCUGGCAGCCUGUGUACACCAGAAUGGGAGAGAAGGAGCCUCCCUCAGCCUACGGACCAGGGCUGCCCUGUAAGUCAGGGAUUGGCCGUGCCUUGGAGUCCCAGGCCCUUUGCAAUGGAGGCAGCGUCAGGGGACCCCUGUAAGCAGGGAAGUUGACCCUUUGGCUGCUGCUUUUUGUGUGCCCAGCUCCAUUUGCCCAGUCUGCCCGCCUCCGUGACCCUCCGCAGCACCGGCUGGAGCUCCGCAGCGCAUGAGCAUGGAGCUGCUGCAGAAGAAAGAAGCAGCGUGUGGAACUGGAAGGCUACAGCGAGCAAGAGGAGGAAGCGGAAGCCUGUGGAUGGGGGGGAAAGAGAGAGGCUCUCUGGGCAAAAGCACCUCCCUGUUAGCGGGGACACAGUCAUGUUUCGGUAGAGCGCUGCCGGCACCUUGGGUGACCAGGCCGGGUUUGUGCUGGGCGACCUCCCUGUAAGCAGGGCUCGGGUCUUUGCUGUAGCUGGCCUUUUGCCUUGUUGCUCCUUUGGCUGCCUGGGGAGCGUGGCCCCCCGUACGGAGGGCGAGAGCCACCUCUCCGCACCUGAGUGGGAAAUGGAGCUCGCCGUACCCCACGGCCACCCUGUAAGCAGGGUAGGUGCCGUUUCCCUGCCCCUCUUCUCCCGGCCCCUUGGCGUUGCUGCCUGCUGGUGGCCAGUCAAUGCAACGGCCCUGUACUCGGGGUGCGUGUCACAAGCUGUUGAGCCCUCUGUCCCCAGAGCAGCCCAGCCCCGCUGUAGUCAGGUCUGGGGAGGCUGCUUUAGCCAGCCAGUUGGUGGGAAUGACCCCUCCCUGUCCCGUUAGAGGGUGCAGGUUGAGGUGCUGCUUGUAGCUGGAGCGACCUCCCCGCUCGGUGGGUCGAGGUUGUUCCCUGGGCUCCCAGAGACGUGAUGUUGUGCUGCAGCCGGGCGGGCCCGCCUGUAGCUCAGGCGUUGGUGGGAGCUGUGUGCUCCGUGGGGCUUCUUGGCGAUGGUGAGAUGUUGGGCACCGUCCUGUAGCCAGGGCUGUG
ensembl:lncRNA